CUCCCCUCCAGGAAGUUAGCUGGCCCCUUUGCUGCCAGCAAAUAUGAAAAACUGGCAAGAUGCCCAUUUAAUCUCCAAACAGAAGAGAGAGAGAGAGAGAGAGAGCGCGCGCAGAGUCAGGGUCUGUAGAGCCUAUCCCGUAGACAGUGGGACUACGACAGAAAUACACUCUGAAUGAGACAACAGUCAAUCACAGGCAUCAUUUAAAGGCAUGCUGCUUUACAACGACUACUUGCACAUCACAAGGUGUCUAUUCUAUCAACUUUAACAUGGCCUGGUGCUAGCGAUGGCUGGAUCGAUCGGCUUCUCACACGCACACACCCACAGAAGCUCUUAAAUGAGAUGCCUGUGUGACCUGGUGCUCCUUUAGGCCCUGUGGAGGUGAACAUAAUACCAAUAGCCACAUACAGCCUGCUGUAAUAAUGGAUUGCUUUUUCAGUAAUGAUAUUACAGAAGAUCUCUACCAUUUCAUCAAGCUUCUAGCAACACAAACAGCCCAUGAAAUGAGUUUCAUGGAUCUGCAACAUGCCACCUUUCUCUCUACAGUUAUUGAAUGGUAGGUGCUCUGCUGGCAAUGAAGAGUUUACCUAUGUAAAAUAUUAAUACAAAAAUUUCUAACACAUUUUUGAUGAACCGGCACACAACUGCCUUCCAAACUGCUAGCUUUAAAAGUAUAAUUGUACUUACACAUUAUACAAUGCAAAAUGUAAUAAACC